rnacentral:rRNA from 1 species
GGAGCAACGCCGCGUGAGUGAUGAAGGUUUUCGGAUCGUAAAGCUCUGUUGUUAGGGAAGAACAAGUACCGUUCGAAUAGGGCGGUACCUUGACGGUACCUAACCAGAAAGCCACGGCUAACUACGUGCCAGCAGCCGCGGUAAUACGUAGGUGGCAAGCGUUGUCCGGAAUUAUUGGGCGUAAAGGGCUCGCAGGCGGUUUCUUAAGUCUGAUGUGAAAGCCCCCGGCUCAACCGGGGAGGGUCAUUGGAAACUGGGGAACUUGAGUGCAGAAGAGGAGAGUGGAAUUCCACGUGUAGCGGUGAAAUGCGUAGAGAUGUGGAGGAACACCAGUGGCGAAGGCGACUCUCUGGUCUGUAACUGACGCUGAGGAGCGAAAGCGUGGGGAGCGAACAGGAUUAGAUACCCUGGUAGUCCACGCCGUAAACGAUGAGUGCUAAGUGUUAGGGGGUUUCCGCCCCUUAGUGCUGCAGCUAACGCAUUAAGCACUCCGCCUGGGGAGA